rnacentral:rRNA from 1 species
AUUGAACGCUGGCGGCAGGCUUAACACAUGCAAGUCGAACGGUAACAUAAAGGGGUUUGCUUCCUUGAUGUCGCGUGGCGCACGGGAGUGUCAUGUUUGUGACUCUCGUUUAUGACUGGGGUUACCUACGGGAAACUGUACCUAAUCCCGCUUAUAUUCGGGAGCUGAAGGUUUAGGACCUUCGGGCCACUUUCCAUUGGAUUAUCUCAAGUUGGAUUAGGUAGUUGGUGAGGUAAAGGCUCACCAAGGCGACGAUCCGUAGCUGGUCUGAGAGGAUGACCGGCCACACUGGAACUGAGACACGGUCCAGACUCCUACGGGAGGCAGCAGUAGGGAAUAUUGCGCAAUGGGGGAAAGCCUGACGGAGCAAUGCCGCGUGAAUGAUGAAGGUCUUCGGGUUGUAAAGUUCUGUCGGUAGCGAGGAAGGAAUGUAGAAGAAAAGACGAGGGGAUUGACGGUACCUAAUGAGGAAGCAACGGCUAACUACGUG